ensembl:lncRNA
CCCCAUUGUUCACCCCCCUCAAGGUCUCUCACCCCUGGAACUUCAGUCACCCCCUGCAGGAAGCCUAGCUGAAGGCAAGGCUGGGGUCAUCUCAGUGGUUAGCACCAGGGCAGUUACUGCAUUGGCUUCUUGUCUGCUUCUUCCUUUAGGAUUUUAAAAUCUGCAACCACGGGGACUGUGUCUUCUUCAGUGUUACUAUCCAGCUCACAGUACAGUGCCUGGAGCUGAAUGGAUAAAUAAAUGAAGAUGAAGUCAGUGCAAAACUCAGCGUGAAUGCUCUAAGCAGUCUGAGCCACACAACGGAGCCGUAAAAUAGCUGACCCUGGACUUUCUCCAUGGAGAUAUGAAGAGACUCAAGCAUUCUAGAAAGCGUUUGGUUGGUUUUUGUUUGAUAUAUAUAAAAAGAUUAGAGGCAGCAAGAGAAGAGAAUCAGAGAGAACCUACGCAUGGAUUUUUUUAAAAAUACAAAAUAGAUUUUACAGCAGAAGUAGAUAGAAGUGGUGCAAAUAAUGAUUUCUCCUCCUCUGAUAUCAGGCUUUGUUGAGCUCCCGGAAAAGCAAACACAUAAUUAUAAUGGAGGUAAAUGGACUGAAAGCCAAGUCAAAGAGGCAGAUCGGCUUCACCAGGAGAGGCACUCACUUCUGCAAAGACAGCAGGAUAAAGAGAACUAGCCUCUCGACCUGGACAAGAGGUGCCUACAACCGUGGGCUGAAAGAGUGUGGAGAACUGUUGACACUGCAGGCAAAAAGAAUGUUAUCAAAGUUCUGUUCAAGUCAAAGGCCUGACACGGAGGCUAAGGAGAGCUCACUGCCUCAAAGAAGAGCCUGCCUGGAGAGAUUUCUUCACGCUACAAACCUCUGUAAAUGUCCUUUCAACGAUUCUGUUUAAAAAAAAAAGGAAUAACCUUAGAUCAAAGUUAGGGCAAGAGUUUCCACAACAGCGAAGCCCACAAUGCCGCAAGGGGGAGAUUAGAGUGAAAUUUUUACGUGAAAAUGUUUCAAGUAUUUAGAAGCUCUUAUGGAAGUAAAAAACACCACAAUGGACAAAUGAUGUGAAUAAAAAUUCACAGAAGAGGUAGCAGUGGCCAAUAAAUAAGAAAAAGGAGGGUUAGCUUCAUUGAUUGCAUUAAAGAAAUGCAAAAUAGGGGUUGACCCUGUGGCCUAGUGGUUAAGUUUGGUGUGCUCCGCUUAGGCUGCCUGGGUUCGUGGGUUCAGAUCCCAGGCACAGACCUACACCACUUGUCAGCCAUGCUGCGGCAGCAUCCCACAUAUAAAGUAGAGGAAGAUUGGCAUAGAUGUUAGCUCAGGGCUAAUCUUCCUCAGCAAAAAACAGAAAGAAAGAAAGAAAUACAAAAUAAAACCAAAGACAAUAUUACCUAUUAAAGUUGCAUGUUUUUAAAUAAAUAAAAGUUCUCAAUGUGGGUAGAAUGGUGGGGAAAUGAGUACUCUUCUAUCCUGUUGGUGGAAUUGUUAGAUCUUUCUAGAGGACAAUUUGGCAACAUAUAUCCAAAGCCUAAAAGAGUUUAAAUCCUCUAGCCUAAUAAUUUUAUUUCUAGGGAUUAUCCUAAACAAAUACUUAAAUUUGCAUCAAUGAUUUUUGUUCAAAGGUAUUAAUUGCAGCAAUAUAUUUAAGAAUGAAAAUUUGGAAAACACACAGCUGGUGAAUAGUUAAUAAAAAAAAUACACUAGAAUAUUGGG